rnacentral:ncRNA from 1 species
AAAAAAGCAGUGAUUGGAAGGAGUAGUUAGUUUGUCUUUACAGGGAGAGAAGUCAUUGAUUGAGAGCUUCUUAGAGUAAUGGGCUAAUGAACGGCAUCCAUGAGUGAUUCUUGAAUAUAGUAGAGAUAUACGUGAGCAUGCGUUAAAUGCAUAGAGAGGUAAUGACUUGCAAAGUCGUUGCUAUUAAGGUGGAACCGCGGAAAAACUUUCGUCCUUUUA